AUGGAGAAGGAGAUAAAUAUCGGCGGCGCCGACGGGGUGGAGGUGAGGAAGGAGGCGGGGGAGGAGGAGGAGAUAAAUCUGGGCGUCGCCGGCGGGGUGUUGGUGAAGAAGGAGGCAGGGGAGGAGGAGGAGAUCGAGUUCGACCCGACGGACGACGAGCUGGUGCUGCACUUCCUGCGGCCGCAGCUGCGCGGGUUCGCGCCGCGCGUGGCGGGCGCGGUGGUGGAGGCGGAGCCGUGCGCGGCGACCCCCUGGGAGCUUCUUGCGCGGCACGGCCUGCUGCGGCGCGGGCACGGCUACUUCUUCGCGGCGCGGCGGCGCGGGAAGGGCACCCAGGCGCGGCGCACCCCGGAUGGCGGCGGCGGCUCGUGGAUGCACAGCGGGAACAAGGAGCACCGCCGGUCCGUGACGGAGCUAGGCGUGGUCGCGCGCUGGUCCAUGACGCUGUACUGCUUCUACGCCCGCGGCGGCGUGAAAGGGGAGGGCGGGGCGCAGCAGGGGCGGCGGAGCACCGGGUGGGCCAUGUCCGAGUACGAGAUCACGGACCCGCGGUGCUACCGCCGGGCCGACGACGGCGAGGAGGACCACUACUGGGUGCUCUGCCACGUCCGCCGGAGCACCAGGAAGAACGUCAAGCCGCGGUCCUGGGAGUGCUGGAAGUCGUGGGAUCUCCAACGUUAA
rnacentral:rRNA from 1 species